rnacentral:rRNA from 1 species
CCUACGGGUGGCAGCAGUGAGGAAUAUUGGUCAAUGGACGAGAGUCUGAACCAGCCAAGUAGCGUGAAGGAUGACUGCCCUAUGGGUUGUAAACUUCUUUUAUAUGGGAAUAAAAUGUUCCACGUGUGGGAUUUUGUAUGUACCAUAUGAAUAAGGAUCGGCUAACUCCGUGCCAGCAGCCGCGUUAAUACGGAGGAUCCGAGCGUUAUCCGGAUUUAUUGGGUUUAAAGGGAGCGUAGGUGGAUUGUUAAGUCAGUUGUGAAAGUUUGCGGCUCAACCGUAAAAUUGCAGUUGAAACUGGCAGUCUUGAGGACAGUAGAGGUGGGCGGAAUUCGUGGUGUAGCGGUGAAAUGCUUAGAUAUCACGAAGAACUCCGAUUGCGAAGGCAGUUCACUGGACUGCAACUGACACUGAGGCUCGAAAGUGUGGGUAUCAAACAGGAUUAGAUACCCUAGUAGUC